rnacentral:rRNA from 1 species
CCCGGGGGGCAGCAGUGGGGGAUAUUGCACAAUGGGGGGAACCCUGAUGCAGCGACGCCGCGUGGGUGAAGGAGCGUUUCGGCGCGUAAAGCCCUAUCGGCAGGGAAGAAGAUGACGGUACCUGACCAAGCAGCCCCGGCUACCUUCGUGCCAGCGGCCGCGGUUAUACGUAGGGGGCAAGCGUUAUCCGGAGUUACUGGGUGUAAAGGGUGCUCAGAAGGUAAUGCAAGCCAGGAGUGAAAGCCCGGGGCCCAACCCCGGGACUGCUCUUGGAACUGGAUGGCUGGAGUACAGGAGGGGCAGGCGGAAUUCCUAGUGUAGCGGUGAAAUGCGUAGAGAUAAGGAAGAACAC